rnacentral:lncRNA from 1 species
GAGCGGGCCGCAGUUUGGGAGUGAGUGGAGGGAAUCAGAGUAGCCCGUGUUGGCAGAACUUGGAACCAUGGACGUGGGCGAACUUCUGAGCUACCAGCUCUUUGACCUCAGGCCCUUCACUAAGCCAGCCACCACCACACCUGAGCCUUGGUUUCCUCGCCUGAAGAAACAGGGAAUGGUGUUACCUACCUGGCAGGGUUGUGUGAGGAUUAAAAGGGUAAUGAAAUGUCAAGUUCCAGGUAUGUAAUAGGCACACCGUUAAUGUCACUGUUAUAUAGCUUGGGUAAUCACUUGGUGAGGAAGCUGUAGGAGGAAUUUUUUAUGGUUUCUUUAAAUCCUGCAAUUCUCUGACCUCAGUGCCUCCUAAGAAGCUCUCUGUGAGAUUUAUAUCUGACUUUACCUAUUGAGGCCCAUCCUGGCUUGCUUAUGCAACCUUGUUUGAAAGAGGUGGCUGAAUUCCCUUGUGGACAAGGUGUUUCAUUCAGUGUCUCUCUGUUUUUUGGUGUUUACUGAGAUUCUCAGGUUUCUAAGUAAUUUCAGCCUGAGACAAGUGAGUAGGAUUGAUGUCUGGCUGCUUUAACACAGGUGUUAUAAACAAGAUUAAGAGGUUGUUGAAAAGAUAUCAGUGGAGCUCUGGGGCAAGCUUUCUGGAGUUAUUCUAAAUUGACAGCUAAUGGGUAGUUUGUCUUGAUGGCUCUCUCUGAGUUGGUUGUAACUGACUAGAGAUGCACCCACAGAGGAAAUCUGCUUAUGAAAAUUCACUUUGCCUUCAUUUAUAAGAAAGUAAAGCUAUUAUAACAUGUAACAGUGUCUUUGCAUGUGCAAAAAACUAUUGUCUUUACACUCUUUUAAGGUACUUUUUUUUUUUUAAAGGCAGUCAAUUAGGUUUUUUUGAUGCCAUAAGCCUGCCAAGCCUCAAAGGAAACUUUAAAAAGGAGAGAGAUAGUUCAAAACAAUGAUUUUAUUCUAUUUAUCUAAUUUUUUCUGUAUAAGACAAUUAUUUUAAUUAUCUUAACCCUUUGUAGAUUUUCUUAUUGCCCAGCAAGUUAUGCAUUUUGCAUUAUUUGGUCUACUACAUGCUAUUGCUAGGAAUCUGAGUAUCCUAAAGUGAUCUUGAAGUGAGCAGUUAUUAGUUUGAAGUCAUUUUGCAGUCAAUUUUUUUUUUUCUUUUUUGUCUUUUGAGGGCCACGCCUGUGGCGUAUGGGGUUUCCCAGGUUAGGGGUCAGAUCGGAGCUGUAGCCUCCGGCUAUGCCACAGUCGCAGCAGUGCCAGAUCCAAGCCGUGUCUGUAACCUACACCACAGCUCAUAGCAACACCAGAUCCUUAACCCACUGAGUGAGGCCAGGGAUCAAACUCGCGUCCUCAUGGAUACUAGUCAGGUUCAUUAACCACUGAGCCAUUGACAGGAGCUCCUAUAGUCAAUUUUAUAACCCUCCUGAGAGAGUUGUAGUUGUGGGGAGAGAGCUUGUAGAAUUUGUAGGUGGGCAAGAGGCAUUCACCUAGGCUACCAGAGAAUUCCUUUUGAUCAUAUUCCACUUGGCCAGAUGUUCGGGGUUCUCUGUUUUCUGGGUGGAGGAAAUAUUUCUGACUCUAAGAGUAACUCAUUUACCAUCCUUGUCCUUAUUGGGAAGAGAAGUAUUUUGCUAACUGUAGGGGUUUGUAAAGCUUCUAGAAAUAGUCAGACCUCUGAGUUGAGGAAAAUAAAGUGCAUCUUAGGCAAAAGCAGACAUAAAGCCAUCUCUUUUCAUUGUUUUGAUGGACUCAUCAAACAGGCAUGUAUUGAGGCCCUAACACCAUAUACUUCAUUCAAGCUCAGAAAGAUAGGUCAGUUGGCACUCUGGUGCUGGAAAGUAUGUUAUAAAAAUCAUGCUGCAUUUUCAGACUUUAAAGUGUUACCCCUACUGUUGAAAAAAUAUUCUUUUUAACAAGAUACUCAGGGUAAAGUUUUAUGUGAGUUCUGUCCUCCUUGAUGUGGCAGCUAUUGUGUAGCAGACUUGUGCGGGUAAGUUUUAAGCUUUAAAAGAAAUAAUGUAGCAGCUGAUGUCCUAGGCUCCAGAGAUCAAAACCAUGCUGGAACCUUUAAAGAAUUAAGGAGCGGCUGUGGAAGACAUAGAUUUUGUAAAUAAAUGCAAUGACUCACUCUCACUUUCCAUCUGGUUCUCACUCAUUCAGUCCUAAACCAUUCAGUAUGCUCUGAAUAGUCCCCCCUUGCUUUUUUUUUUUUAAAUCUUCACUCUCUUCUUUCCCUUCUAUCCUCCUGCUAGUGUUUUUCCCUCAACCACUCCUAUUUGAAAGGGGAAUGCAGUUUUGAGUCUUGGCUAUGACCUCAGAGGCAACUUAUAGAAAAAAAUAAUUAAAGAUUUCCUUGCCCCCACUUUAGUCUUAAUAAAAUUGCCCAUUGCUAGAGGCAAUAUUCCACUGGCUGGGACAUCCUCUGUCAGCGUAAUUACAUGUACCAGGUAUGCCAUGUCCAUGUAACUGGCAGAGCUGCUAGUGGCUGUAUGCAUAGUCCACCUUUACCUAGUUUCUGUGACAUACACUUAUAAAAUAUCUUACCUUUGUAUUACUCUAAAUAGUAAAGUGAAUUUAUUGUGUCUGAGCCUUGAUCUAAAAAUAGAAAUAAUUUAAAAUAGCUUUGCCAUAUUAAUUUGUUGUUUAAUAUUUAAAGAUUCAAAGUGGACUAGUAUUCAUGGUAGGUACCCCUGGGUUCAGUGUGGGUUCCC